rnacentral:tRNA from 1 species
GCCUGAGUUGCUCAGUCGGUUGAGCGUCCGACUACGGCUCGGGUCGUGAUCUCGUGGUUUGUGAGUUCGAGCCCCGCGUCAGGCU